CUGCCAUAUAAUAAACCCUUGAAUGCUAAUCUAUUUCCUAAGUAAACUCACAUAUCAUAAAACUCAGAGCCUUGAACUAUGCAUGUCUUGAAGCUCUGUGCUGAUUUCAAGUGUUACAUUGGGGGAAGCUAGGGUUCAAAUUCAUUUUUAUUCUCUCAGAAGAGUAAAAUACAAACCUAAAACCUAAAUUAGAAAAAAAUGAAGCUUUUUUUAACUUUUAAAAAAUUGUUUGAGUUACACUUAACUUUAUCAGCAAUGUGUAGACACACUGCCAGUUGUCAUAUAAGCAUUCUACAGCAAGAUACCAACCCAGAGUUCUUGCUAAUUUUAUAUCGUGUGCUGCUUUAGGGUUAAAACCUAUCCUGACUGCUAGUAUUUAUGGCUUAAAGGCUGCCACGCAGUCAUGACAACGUAUCCAUAAUGCCAGCAUCACCAAUGCAGGUUUAAAAAAGAGCGAGCAUACUUUUCUAUAAUUAGAGGCCUAUUCUGUUACAGUAAAAGCAUAAAUUAAGUCUUUAUUUUUAUUAAACAAGUAUUUCAAGUGUUCCUUCCAA
rnacentral:lncRNA from 1 species